rnacentral:rRNA from 1 species
UGGCGGCGUGCCUAACACAUGCGAGUCGAACGAGAAAGUGGAGCAAUCCAUGAGUAAAGUGGCGACCGGGUGAGUAACACGUGACUAACCUACCUUCGAGUGGGGGAUAACCUCGGGAAACCGGGGCUAAUACCGCAUAAUGCCUUCGGGUUAAAGGAGCAAUUCGCUUGAAGAGGGGGUCGCGGCUGAUUAGCUAGUUGGCGGGGUAACGGCCCACCAAGGCGAUGAUCGGUAGCCGGCCUGAGAGGGCGCACGGCCACACUGGAACUGAAACACGGUCCAGACUCCUACGGGAGGCAGCAGUGGGGAAUUUUGCGCAAUGGGGGAAACCCUGACGCAGCAACGCCGCGUGGAGGAUGAAGUCCUUUGGGACGUAAACUCCUUUCGACCGGGACGAUAAUGACGGUACCGGUGGAAGAAGCCCCGGCUAACUUCGUGCCAGCAGCCGCGGUAAUACGAGGGGGGCGAGCGUUGUUCGGAAUUAUUGGGCGUAAAGGGCGCGUAGGCGGUGCGGUAAGUCACCUGUGAAACCUCUGGGCU